UCCUGAACAGACUGCUGUCUUGCCUGUGGAACCCCAGUGAGGUGUGGGGAGCUCUCAAGGAUAGUCCAGGGCCGCAGGGAUUGAUGUGUUUCUGUGAAGGGGACCAAUGGAGACAAGACUGCAUUAAAUUUCAAGGCAUAUGGGAAGCACAUGAGGAUUUGAGUUUCAGCCAGGCACCAGGAAGAUUGAUUGUGUUUUUCUUUUUCUGAGGCCCCAGCUUACCCCAAGGAGGACUGAGAGAGAGGAACUUAUUUGCAUAUCAGCUGUGGACUGUAGGAUAGCCAAGAAGACAUUCCAGAAACCUCUCCUCAGUGUCUGACUCGCUUACAACUCUGUCUUAACUUCUAGAACAGAUUUAAACUAACUUUUGUGACUUUUUAUCUGCCAAAGAAUGUAUUUAAAUUAUUUGCUCCUAUUUAAUGUAAAAAAUAACUGUCCAAAUCAAUCCCUGUUUUAUAUCUUGCACACAGAUCCUACACAUCAUGGCUGAGAGGGAGGUGGGGAAAAGGAGCACUGUGGCUGCAUUAUAUGGGAAAUGUCAUCUGGAGCAAUUACAUUGUCUUUCCAACAAAACAGAUCUGAACCACUUUCUGAAGCCAAAUAUUUGGAGAACUAAAUUUGGGUGAGUGGGUGUUGUGCACAGAGCAGUAGUUAAGCAUUUCAAGCUGGCUUUGAAUCCUGGAAUUUUCAAAUAAGCCAAAGGGAGUUAGGUGCCCGAAUUCUAUUAAAAUUCAAGUUACCAAAAAGCCACAGAUUUGCUUUUUUUUUUUUUUUUUUUUUU